UGGUGAGUGCGGCUUAUCUUUGCAUCUUGUUCUCUAUUUCAUUCUGUUCAAGCCCUGCACCCCGAUUUCUUGGACGGUCGGAUGAGGCCAGGAUUGCGUUCCUUCAAUUCCCAGGUGGGAGGAGGGUGCCCUCAGUACCUCUUGUUAUGUGCAUGAGAAUCACUGCUGAUCGGCUCAGCCCCAUAAAUUGAAUGGGUCUA